CAGCGCCACGAGUGGUAACCACGUUUAUUGGGCCUAAAGCGUCCGUAGCCGGUUUGAUAAAUCUUUUGUGAAAUUGUACAGCUUAACUGUACAGCGUGCAAGAGACACUGUCAAACUUGAGACCGGGAGGAGUCAGAAGUAUUCCAGAGGGAGCGGUAAAAUGUUAUAAUCUCUGGAGGACUACCUGUGGCGAAGGCGUCUGACCAGAACGGAUCUGACGGUGAGGGACGAAAGCUAGGGGAGCGAACCGGAUUAGAGACCCGAGUAGUCC
rnacentral:rRNA from 1 species